AACGAACGCUGGCGGCAGGCUUAACACAUGCAAGUCGAACGCUCGUAGCAAUACGGGAGUGGCGGACGGGUGAGUAACGCGUGGGAACGUGCCCUGAGGUACGGAAUAACUGAGGGAAACUUCAGCUAAUACCGUAUGAGCCCCGAGAGGGGAAAGGAUUUAUCGCCUUGGGAGCGGCCGCGUCGGAUUAGCUAGUUAGUGGGGUAACGGGCCUACCAAGGCUUCGAUCCGUAGCUGGUCUGAGAGGACGAUCAGCCACACUGGGACUGAGACACGGCCCAGACUCCUACGGGAGGCAGCAGUGGGGAAGUCUUGCGCAAU
rnacentral:rRNA from 1 species